GUCCUUUAGAAUUUAAUUUAAGGUCUAACCUGCCCACUGAAUAAAUUAUUUUAAAUGGCCGCAGUAAUUUGACUGUGCAAAGGUAGCAUAAUCAUUAGUUUUUUAAUUGAAAGCUUGUAUGAAGGGUUGGACGAGGUAAAAUCUGUCUCUAAUAAAUUUAAUUUAGAAUUUAACUUUUAAGUCAAAAGGCUUAAAUGAUAUUAAAAGACGAGAAGACCCUAUAGAUCUUUAUAAUUAAAUUAUUAAAAUUAAUUAAGAAUUUUUAAAAUUUUAUUUAUUUAAUUAUUUUAUUGGGGUAAUAUAAAGAUUUAAAUAAUUCUUUUUUUUUAUUUACAUUGAUUUAUGAAUUUAUGAUCCAAUUUUAUUGAUUGUAAGAUUAAGUUACCUUAGGGAUAACAGCGUAAUUUUUUUAGAGAGUUCUUAUCGAUAAAAAAGUUUGCGACCUCGAUGUUGGAUUAAAGAUUAUUUCAGGUGUAGAAGUUUGAAAAUUUUGGUCUGUUCGACCAUUAAAUCUUUACAUGAUCUGAGUUCAGACCGGCGUAAGCCAGGUCGGUUUCUAUCUUUAAUAAAUUAUUAUAUUUUAGUACGAAAGGACCAAUUAUUUAAUAUAAAAUAUUUUAUUUUUUGAUUAUUAUUAA
rnacentral:rRNA from 1 species